rnacentral:rRNA from 1 species
AAUCCAUAGGUUAAUGAGGCGAACCGGGGGAACUGAAACAUCUAAGUACCCCGAGGAAAAGAAAUCAACCGAGAUUCCCCCAGUAGCGGCGAGCGAACGGGGAGGAGCCCAGAGCCUGAAUCAGCAUGUGUGUUAGUGGAAGCGUCUGGAAAGGCGCGCGAUACAGGGUGACAGCCCCGUACACAAAAGCGCAUGUGCUGUGAGCUCGAUGAGUAGGGCGGGACACGUGGUAUCCUGUCUGAAUAUGGGGGGACCAUCCUCCAAGGCUAAAUACUCCUGACUGACCGAUAGUGAACCAGUACCGUGAGGGAAAGGCGAAAAGAACCCCGGCGAGGGGAGUGAAAAAGAACCUGAAACCGUGUACGUACAAGCAGUGGGAGCACAGGUUUACCUGUGUGACUGCGUACCUUUUGUAUAAUGGGUCAGCGACUUAUAUUCUGUAGCAAGGUUAACCGAAUAGGGGAGCCGGAGGGAAACCGAGUCUUAAUUGGGCGUUAAGUUGCAGGGUAUAGACCCGAAACCCGGUGAUCUAGCCAUGGGCAGGUUGAAGGUUGGGUAACACUAACUGGAGGACCGAACCGACUAAUGUUGAAAAAUUAGCGGAUGACCUGUGGCUGGGGGUGAAAGGCCAAUCAAACCGGGAGAUAGCUGGUUCUCCCCGAAAGCUAUUUAGGUAGCGCCUCGUGAAUUCAUCUCCGGGGGUAGAGCACUGUUUCGGCUAGGGGGCCAUCCCGGCUUACCAACCCGAUGCAAACUGCGAAUACCGGAGAAUGUUAUCACGGGAGACACACGGCGGGUGCUAACGUCCGUCGUGAAGAGGGAAACAACCCAGACCGCCAGCUAAGGUCCCAAAGUCAUGGUUAAGUGGGAAACGAUGUGGGAAGGCCCAGACAGCCAGGAUGUUGGCUUAGAAGCAGCCAUCAUUUAAAGAAAGCGUAAUAGCUCACUGGUCGAGUCGGCCUGCGCGGAAGAUGUAACGGGGCUAAACCAUGCACCGAAGCUGCGGCAGCGACACUGUGUGUUGUUGGGUAGGGGAGCGUUCUGUAAGCCUGUGAAGGUGGCCUGUGAGGGUUGCUGGAGGUAUCAGAAGUGCGAAUGCUGACAUAAGUAACGAUAAAGCGGGUGAAAAGCCCGCUCGCCGGAAGACCAAGGGUUCCUGUCCAACGUUAAUCGGGGCAGGGUGAGUCGACCCCUAAGGCGAGGCCGAAAGGCGUAGUCGAUGGGAAACGGGUUAAUAUUCCCGUACUUGGUGUUACUGCGAAGGGGGGACGGAGAAGGCUAUGUUGGCCGGGCGACGGUUGUCCCGGUUUAAGCGUGUAGGUGUGUGUUCCAGGUAAAUCCGGUUCACUUUAACACUGAGGCGUGACGACGAGGCACUACGGUGCUGAAGCAACAAAUGCCCUGCUUCCAGGAAAAGCCUCUAAGCAUCAGGUAACAUCAAAUCGUACCCCAAACCGACACAGGUGGUCAGGUAGAGAAUACCAAGGCGCUUGAGAGAACUCGGGUGAAGGAACUAGGCAAAAUGGUGCCGUAACUUCGGGAGAAGGCACGCUGACACGUAGGUGAAGUGAUUUACUCAUGGAGCUGAAGUCAGUCGAAGAUACCAGCUGGCUGCAACUGUUUAUUAAAAACACAGCACUGUGCAAACACGAAAGUGGACGUAUACGGUGUGACGCCUGCCCGGUGCCGGAAGGUUAAUUGAUGGGGUCAGCGCAAGCGAAGCUCCUGAUCGAAGCCCCGGUAAACGGCGGCCGUAACUAUAACGGUCCUAAGGUAGCGAAAUUCCUUGUCGGGUAAGUUCCGACCUGCACGAAUGGCGUAAUGAUGGCCAGGCUGUCUCCACCCGAGACUCAGUGAAAUUGAACUCGCUGUGAAGAUGCAGUGUACCCGCGGCAAGACGGAAAGACCCCGUGAACCUUUACUAUAGCUUGACACUGAACAUUGAGCCUUGAUGUGUAGGAUAGGUGGGAGGCUUUGAAGCGUGGACGCCAGUCUGCAUGGAGCCGACCUUGAAAUACCACCCUUUAAUGUUUGAUGUUCUAACGUGGACCCGUAAUCCGGGUUGCGGACAGUGUCUGGUGGGUAGUUUGACUGGGGCGGUCUCCUCCUAAAGAGUAACGGAGGAGCACGAAGGUUGGCUAAUCCUGGUCGGACAUCAGGAGGUUAGUGCAAUGGCAUAAGCCAGCUUGACUGCGAGCGUGACGGCGCGAGCAGGUGCGAAAGCAGGUCAUAGUGAUCCGGUGGUUCUGAAUGGAAGGGCCAUCGCUCAACGGAUAAAAGGUACUCCGGGGAUAACAGGCUGAUACCGCCCAAGAGUUCAUAUCGACGGCGGUGUUUGGCACCUCGAUGUCGGCUCAUCACAUCCUGGGGCUGAAGUAGGUCCCAAGGGUAUGGCUGUUCGCCAUUUAAAGUGGUACGCGAGCUGGGUUUAGAACGUCGUGAGACAGUUCGGUCCCUAUCUGCCGUGGGCGCUGGAGAACUGAGGGGGGCUGCUCCUAGUACGAGAGGACCGGAGUGGACGCAUCACUGGUGUUCGGGUUGUCAUGCCAAUGGCACUGCCCGGUAGCUAAAUGCGGAAGAGAUAAGUGCUGAAAGCAUCUAAGCACGAAACUUGCCCCGA